CCUACGGGAGGCUGCAGUCGAGAAUCAUUCACAAUGGGGGAAACCCUGAUGGUGCGACGCCGCGUGGGGGAAUGAAGGUCUUCGGAUUGUACACCCCUGUCAUGUGGGAGCAAAUUAAAAAGAUAGUACCACAAGAGGAAGAGACGGCUAACUCUGUGCCAGCAGCCGCGGUAAUACAGAGGUCUCAAGCGUUGUUCGGAAUCACUGGGCGUAAAGCGUGCGUAGGCUGUUUCGUAAGUCGUGUGUGAAAGGCGCGGGCUCAACCCGCGGACGGCACAUGAUACUGCGAGACUAGAGUAAUGGAGGGGAAACCGGAAUUCUCGGUGUAGCAGUGAAAUGCGUAGAUAUCGAGAGGAACACUCGUGGCGAAGGCGGGUUCCUGGACAUUAACUGACGCGGAGGCACGAAGGCCAGGGGAGCGAAAGGGAUUAGAUACCCUGGUAGUC
rnacentral:rRNA from 1 species